CUGAGCCGCUGUGUGUGUGAUCUCAGUGCAUGUCGGGCAUGCGCGUCACUUACCACUUGCAAGUGGAAGGAUGGCAAGCCUAAAGACAAUCAUAACUACACAAUGGGCAGUAUUUGCAUCAGUAUUUGCAGUAUUUUCAUACUUUUAUACUCUUUAAUGAAAGGUGAUACAAGGCGGAAGUCCGCGCCGUUUUUCAUCAGUCGCGUCACAUGACCAACGCCAGCGAAUCAGGAAGGUGGAUGUCACAGUGACGUUGUCCAAUGACGACGCCAGCUAGAGCUCAGCACAGUGUAUCUGCGUAUUCUCAAUGUUUACACAGCACCGGACCAGACACGAUCUGGAUUGAAUACGUGGACCCUGGCGGAUUCCCGUUUCCAGGCGUUUUAAUGUAAACGGACAGUGCAUCCGCGAAGAAAACGAGACAGAUACGGUCUAAUGUAAACUUGGCCUUGGACAUGACUCUGAUUUGAACACUGGGGACUCAAGACUGGACUCUGACUCGAGGUUUAGUGACUUGAUUAUAAUACUGGUGGAAACUAAGUUUUGUACUGUGAAUUAAUAAAUAAAGCUAAUGGGUUUAAAAUACGGUGGCUGAUUUUUGUCUGUUCACUAUAAAGGUGGCCUGUUUUUCCUGUUCAUUAGAGGUCAGGGAAAAAUCGGGGAACUUGACAUUUGACUUGGAGUAGGAACCCAGUAGUCUAGGUGCGAUUCACGGCACCUUGAAUUCAGUAUUAAUUACCAGGCUCACUGAUACUGCUCUCCACGCUCCGGUCGGCAGCCCAUGCGCACUCUAUUAGAAAUACUAUUUAAACACCACAACAUGUAAAAACAUCAAUCUCAGCAUGAGGUUCAGUUGCUUGCAGCACAUUGCUUCAUGAUGCCCUUAAUUUAACUGUAAAACAGUUAAGGAGGCUACUCAUUUUGGUAUCUGUAACAGUAUCCACGAGUCCCAAAAAAAAAAAAAGGUAUCGAUGCAUCCCUAAUGAUGACUAAUGGAAUUAUUUAUCUAAAGUCACAAACAUUCAGUUUCCAUUAUGAACACAUGAGGUAAAAAAAAAAAGAAUAAAUACUUGCAUAAAUACUGACAGUGGUUUAAAAAGCUCAAGCAGUGACUAAAACAGCAUCACAGGAACAACACUAAAAUGCAGUGCUUAUCAUAAAACACGAGGUAAAAGAAGUGUGUGUAGAAAUCAGCAAAAUGCUACUCGAGUGCUUAUCUACAUCGUUUCAAUGAAAUAUCAUGGCAACUUAAUUAUAAAAAAGUAAUAAUGAAGAUACCCUUGAUCUUCCAUUGACCUCCAAUAAUCAGGCUACAAUAUUUCUGUCAUCGCUCAGAGGUUCCAAAUGUUUGAUAUAUUAUUGGUUCAGAGAAAUUGGUGAUAAUCUCUGCAACUGUAAACUCGCAUGUAGCAAAUGUUAGCACUUUGAAGAAAGAAUUUUAACACUGAAACAGUAUGGAUAUGAUUAAAUGGUGAGUAAAUCACUUGAUUAAUCAAAAUUGAUUUUGUCCUAUGUGAAUUUUCACAGAUGCUGAUAUAAUCCAGGUGUUAAAACGAACCCCCCCCCCUUUUUUUUAACCCCACUGAGUCACAGCUGAAAAUGACCAAAUAAUCAAACUUGGAUGCAGGGGGGAAAAAAAAGUUCCCGUCUAACCAAACCCUUAUGCUCAUGGAAUGAGCUCUUGUAUCUCAGCAUCGUUCAGUUCGUUAGUCACAACGAUGUGGUCCAGCUGCUGCAGGUAACGUUCUUGGUCUUGCAUGAAAUGAGGGAUCCUGGUUCUCCGCAGGACCGCGAGAUGACGAAGCCUUUCCACAUCUUCAUAGGACACCUACAGAAAAUCCCUUCAGGAAAGUGAUUGGAGCACUUUGUUCAGCCGAAAGAACCAUUUCUGUGGUAUGGAGCAUUAAAUAAGUAGCAGUCUUUGAUACGCUACCUGGUUUUGAGGUGUCCGUUUGUCCCCGUUUGGCACGAAGGCAGUACUCCCAGCGUACUGCGGGGUCCUGGACGAAGCGAGCGAUAUAGCUGAACAGUUGGCUGAAGCUCAUGUUGGCUGCAUGGUACACAGUGUAGUAGAGGAGAGCAGCUCGCCAUAAGAAGGGCUGCUUCCGCAACAGCACGCUGUGAAUGCUGGCCAGUCCCUCCUCUGUAGGAUUGGCUGGCUUCAGUCCAAACUGCUUCCUUCCGACGGCAGUGGCCCACGGCUGCAUGCUGUUAUUCACGCCGCCAUCCCUUCUAGCCAGUGCUGCCGUGCUCCGGACAGGUUUAUGGUUAAGGUCGGCCUGCAGCUCUCCACCAUCAUCACAGCCUGAGACAGGAGCUCAUCAGACAGAGACACCACCACCUGCAAAUAUCAACACGAGGACUUGAACUGCGCUGUGGAUGUGAGAAAUUGUGCAGGUGUGCACAGGAAAUGUGGAUGACUAAAGGACAUACCUCACCCACACAGCCCUCUUUCUGUAAGUACUUGCGCACCGUCGCCCACACUCGACUCUUGGGCAACACACUUCCUCCAGUGACUUCUUCAAAGUUCUCGUAGGUGCCAAACUUCCUCAGGACACACUCCAUGAUAUUAACUGCCUGGGAAAAGAUGAGAGUGGGAUUCAGAGGUGGAACGGUUUCUCUUUGUGGUAUGUUCAGAUAUCACAAAAGUAUUUAAAGGAGUAUGACGUUCUAAUCUUUCUCACAAAAUGCCCUGCAUCAGUCUUCACCCCCUUGAACGUUUCCACAUUUUGUAGUGUUACAACCUAAAAUGUCAAGUUAGACAAAAAAAUUCAACAGGUUUCCUUAGUCUUGAACAAAUAAUUCCACACACAAUGAUAAUGGAAGUCUAAGGGCAGCUGCUAAAUUCUAUCAAUAAAUGUUUAUACAUAAUGCAAAAGUUUGUGCACCCUUGGGGCAAAAUAACAAAGCCACGGAAAUAACCUUGUAGCAACAAGACCUUGAAAGUAGUUUAUUACACAAUCUGGCCCUUGUCUGAGUCUCUCAGAGCCUUACACUUGCCCAUUUUUCCUACUUCAUAUGCAUUAUAUAUAUGAAACGAGUGUUUCACUGGGAAAUAUGCCACUCAUAUUUUUCAUACGAGUUACAUCCGGGACAUUGAGUGACAUGCUUAAAUAAUAUUGGCUGACUUUUUUUUCGUGGUAUAUCAGAUAUAUUCCAUUCAGCUAGCAUGAUGUUGAACGAGUCAAAGACGAGUAGCUGAAUGGAAUAUAUCUGAUUAUACCACUAAAAAAAGCCAGCCAAUAUCAUUAUUAUUAUUAUACACUCUCUUUUCCAGUUUUUCGUUGUCCGUUGGUAUGUUUUUCUCUUGUAAAUAUGUGUGAAGAAUAUCUAAUGAAGUUUUGGUAACCUUUCGGGUGUUCAACACAUCUUUCUCUUUCCUGGUGAACAAAGAAAUGCUUCUGCGCAUGCGUGGCAGAAACGUUUUGUCAUUGGAUAUUUACAUCAGCUCCGACAUGCAAUGUCAUGUUGUCGUGACAACCAUGCAAUAUCGUAACCCAUAUCCAACGCUCAUUCUCCAUUGGGUAGCGUGACGUAAUACACGCAAGAUAAGCGAUAUGCUAACAAUAUUGCAUGCUAUCAAACCAAAUGAAUGAAACCCACUAGAAGGGAAUAGAACACAUUUUUAUUCCACGAAAAAAGUGUCCUGCAUGUAUAAUAAUUCCUGAUAUUUCACUCCGAUGACGUCACUCCCAGCGUUUUCCCACUGACUAGACGCGCGUUGUCAAAAUGGCAAACCUGUUCAAAAUUAAAAUUCCUUUGAUUAACUUGCGUAUUUUUUUUGUGUAGGUGUCCAUAUAAUAUAAAGAACAUUAGACGGUGGCGCAAAGAUAUGAAGUUUAUCUUCUCAUGUUGAAAAAUAUAUCACUCGUUCACUUGUGAAAUAUAUACAUUCACCACUCAAACUUCAUAUCUUCGUGUCACCGUGUAAUAUCCUCAUAUUUUCUUAUCCAUCCAUCCAUCCAUCCAUCCAUCCAUCCAUCCAUCCAUCUUCUAACGCUUAUCUGGAUCCGGGUCACGGGGGUAGCAGCCUAAGCACAGCAGCCCAGACUUCCCUCUCCCCAACCACCUCCACCAGCUCGUCCGGGGGAAUACUGAGGCAUUCCUAGGCCAGCCGAGAGAUGUAAUCUCUCCAGCGUGUCUUGGGUCUGCCCGGGGUCUCCUCCCAGUGGGGCAUGCCCAGAAAACCUCCCUUGGGAGGCGUCCGGGGGCAUCCUAACAAGGUGCCCGAACCACCUCAACUGACUCCUUUCGAUGUGGAGGCGCAGCGGUUCUACUCUAAGUCUCUCCCAAAUGACCAAGCUUCUCACCCUGUCUCUAAGGGAGAGCCCAGCCACCCUGCAGAGAAAACUCAUUUCUACCGCGAUCUCGUUCUUUCGGUCACUACCCAUAGCUCGUGACCAUAGAUGAGAGUGGAAACGUAGAUGGACCAGUAAAUUGAGAGCUUUGCCUUUUGGUUCAGCUCUCUCUACCACAACAGACCGGUUUAGCGUCUGCAUCACUGCUGUCGAUAUAUAUAUAUAUGUGUGUGUGUGUGUGUGUAUGUGU